rnacentral:rRNA from 1 species
GACGAACGCUGGCGGCGUGCCUAACACAUGCAAGUCGAACGGGGUUGACCUUCGGGUUAACUUAGUGGCGAACGGGUGAGUAACGCGUGAGAAACCUGCCUCUCAGUGGGGGACAACAGUUGGAAACGACUGCUAAUACCGCAUAACACUUUAGCACCGCAUGGUACAGAAGUCAAAGCUUUAUGUGCUGAGAGAUGGUCUCGCGUCUGAUUAGCUAGUUGGCGGGGUAACGGCCCACCAAGGCGACGAUCAGUAGCCGGUCUGAGAGGAUGAACGGCCACAUUGGGACUGAGAUACGGCCCAGACUCCUACGGGAGGCAGCAGUGGGGAAUAUUGGGCAAUGGGGGAAACCCUGACCCAGCAACGCCGCGUGAAGGAAGAAGGCCUUCGGGUUGUAAACUUCUUUUACCAGGGACGAAGAACGUGACGGUACCUGGAGAAAAAGCCACGGCUAACUACGUGCCAGCAGCCGCCGCCGUAA